rnacentral:sRNA from 1 species
AGUAUCUCAAAAUCUUAACAUUAAAA